UGUUUUAGAGAACGAUCGUUGAGGCUAAGUAUUUCUAAAACUCUCAUGACAAAUUUUACUCUAGGUACUGCCAAAACAUAAAACUCAAUGGACGAAAAAAAAUUUCUCCUUUUUUCAGACCAUAUAUUAUGGUUAAUUAAUGGCAAAACAAUACUCCUACCAUAAUAAAUGAGUUUGCAAAAUGGUUAUCAUGUUUAUUAAAACAAAAUAAAGACAGCUUGUGUAACACCCGAACCUAAUUUCAUAAUUAAUUUUAUGGUUUAUAUGCAUGUCAUUAUCUUAAUUACUUUUAAGUGCAUGAAGUUUUGAUAUUGUGAUAUUAUAGAACAUAUAUGCUAUUUUAAUGUGAUGGAUAUAGCUUUAUAAAGGUAAGGAUAUAUAUAUAUAUAUAUAUAUAUGCAAAGUGAUAUUAUUUUUGUAUAAAAGUGUGAGUGUGAAUGUAAGAAAUUAUUUUUGUAGAAAGGUGUGAGUGUGAAUGCAAGAAAAUUGGAAAAGUGGGUGGUGAGAUUUUUCCUAAGCUCCACACGUAUUCCACCCAAAGUCCCCAUCUUUUAUCCCCUUUUUGCUGCCCAAAAAAUCUUCCCCUUAUCUCAUUUUCUUGGCUGCACCAGACAGAAAGUCCAGCCCUCUUUCCCUACUCUUUCCUUGUUCUUUGUUUCUCUCUUCUCCCCUUCUUACAUGGCAGCCCUCCCUCUCUCACCAAAACAAAAUAUUCCUCUCUAAAGAAGAAAUUAAAGGGUUAACACUAAAAUUUCAACUUCAAAUUGUUGGGGGUGUUACCAGUAUCCAAGUCUAAGCUCCUUCGACUGUAGGCCCUUGGUUCCUCUGCUUUCAGUUAGCAGGUUUUAUUUUGGAGCAGAGGGAGCCUUAGUCGAGUUUGGAAGGAGCUGGUUUUAGUUUGAUAUGCAUAGAUCCUAAAUUAGCAAUUUGAUGUUUAGCUUUGUAGUAUUGUGUAUUUUAGGAUCUAAAGAAAGUUGUGUACCUUAAAGUAUUAAGAGACGUAUUAUGUGAAAGUGUGGAAAUUAAAUGAUUGGUGGAUUAUAUUA